rnacentral:rRNA from 1 species
CACGUGAGCAAUCUGCCUUUCAGAGGGGGAUACCGAUUGUAAACGAUCGUUAAUACCGCAUAACAUAAUUGAACUGCAUGAUUUGAUUAUCAAAGAUUUAUCGCUGAAAGAUGAGCUCGCGUCUGAUUAGCUAGUUGGUAAGGUAACGGCUUACCAAGGCGACGAUCAGUAGCCGGACUGAGAGGUUGAUCGGCCACAUUGGGACUGGGACACGGCCCAGACUCCUACGGGAGGCAGCAGUGGGGAAUAUUGCACAAUGGAGGAAACUCUGAUACAGCGAUGCCGCGUGAGGGAAGAAGGUUUUAGGAUUGUAAACCUCUGUCUUCAGGGACGAAAAAAAAGACGGUACCUGAGGAGGAAGCUCCGGCUAACUACGUGCCAGCAGCCGCGGUAAUACGUAGGGAGCGAGCGUUGUCCGGAAUUACUGGGUGUAAAGGGAGCGUAGGCGGGAUCGCAAGUCAGAUGUGAAAACUAUGGGCUUAACCCAUAAACUGCAUUUGAAACUGUGGUUCUUGAGUGAAGUAGAGGUAAGCGGAAUUCCUAGU